AUUUCUAUCUAAAAUUUGUAGUAUAAUAAAUUAAUAAUAAUUAUUAUUUUUAAUAGCAUGAAGACCUAUGUAACAUACAAAAAAAGAAUCGGAAAUUAUUAAAGGAAUGUGAAGGGUCUCUUUCAACUGUAGACAUAGAUAAAGAAAUAUAUCCUUGGUAUAAUUAUAAACCAGAUAUGACUGCAUUGAAACAAUGGUCAGAACGUUUAAAAAAUGAAAGGAAAGUCAAAAAAAAAGGUAAUAAAGACAAUUCUAGGAAUUCUGCAAUUAAAAUUAAUAGCUAUACAAAAAUGGCAAGGGAACGAUCAGAAUUUCGUCAAUUCCUUGUGAAUUUAUUUAGGGAAAACCAUACACACAGUCCUAAAGAAAAUGAAACUGGUGAUAUACUAAUGAAAGAAGAAGAAGAAAAAUUAAAAUAUUAUUAUUAUAUUCGAACUGGAAUUGAUUUACAAAAUAUAGCACCAUUAGAAAAAUGUUGGAUAGAUAAAAUAAUCAAUUGGGUGAAUCCUUUUUUAUUGUGAUUUUAUUGAAGAAAGGACAAUCAGUAAGGAUAUAUGGAUUGCCACUCACUUGGCUUAUCACCACGUAACUUUUACCUGUGUAGCUUGCUAAAAGAAAAAAAUUUAUUGUGACAACAUUUGAAUGUUGGAAGAGUUGAAAAUCCACAUAUGACUAGAGAUUGCUAAAUUGCAGUUGCUGAACCGAAGAGUGUUUUCAAGAACAUGCAUUGGUGAGCAGUGCAGCUUUGAUAGUAACUUUCACCUGAGGUUAAUCUGAUUUUUGCCAUCUUUGCUUUCACAACAGUUAUCAAUAGAGUGCCAGUAUUCAAUUGUUUCUUGUUCUUUCUUUUUAGAUCAUCGGAAGUAAGCACAGAAUUGCUGCAGAGAACUUACCAUACAGGAACACAAUUGAUUGACUAUGAAGACUUUCAAUAUCACACAAAGCGUAUCACACAAUAUGAAGACUUUAUUAUCUAAAAAGGAUUUGCAUUUUGGGCAAUUCAUCUUUCCUCAGUCCUUUACACAUUUCUGUGGUUUUCAAAGUGCGCCCUAGAAGAUUUCCGGGUGCACCCUAUGGUAUUCCAGAGAAAUAUGUGCCCAGAUAUAAAAAUAAAUAUAGUUACAGUAUUCUAUUAUACAAUUUCAUUAUAUAAAUAUACCCAAAUAAAAUGCAUAGAUUUCUCAAAAAGAAGCGUGAUAUUGAAGAAUCUGAUUCUGGAAGUGAGCAAAAGUUAAGUGCAAGUAAGAAAGCAAAAUUUCAGCCUUCUCGCAAACAUAAUGAAAGUUAUUUAAGCUUUGGUUUUACUUGGACCGGCAGUGAAGAUCUUCCUUUACCUCUAUGUUUAGUAUGUGAAUGUAAACUGGCAAAUGAAACAUUGCUUCCUAGUAAAUUGAGUAAACAUUUUAAAACUAUACACUAAUUUACAAGAUAAAUCUAAGUUUUUUCAAGAGAUUGUCUGAACAGCAAACAAAAACGGCAAAAUCUUUUAAAAGUAUAAUGACAGUUUCUGAUAAAGCUCAAAUCGCUUCUUAUCAAGUUUCAGAACUGAUAGCAAGAAAUAUGAAAGCUCAUACUUUAGGUGAGCCACUUAUUUUGCCUGAAUGCAAAAAAAUGGUCAUGACAAUGCUUGGAAAUGAAGCAGCAAUGAAAAUAAGCAAAAUUUCUCUGUCUAACAAUACAGUUCACAGGCAUAUUAUAAAAAUGUCUUCUGAUAUUGAGAAAAAUGUAUGCAGUAAUAAGCUUCAGUAUUCAAAUUUUGCAUUGCAAGUUGAUGAGUCAACAGACAUUACCAACACGGCACAACUCUUAGCAUUCAUCUAUUUUAUUAAUGGAGAUCAAAUAGUAAACCAGUUUCUUUUUUGUAAAGAAUUAAAUGUAUCUAUAAAAGGUAAAGAUGUUUUUAACAUUUUGAAUAAUUAUCUUGAUAAAUGGCAGUUAACAUGAAAGUUGUGUGCAGGCAUUUGUACAGAUGGCACUCCUUCUAUGAUAGGCUGUGUUAAGAGUCUUACAUCUUUUGUAAAAAAAACAAAAUGAGAAUGUUAUCGUAACUCACUGCUUUCUCCUUAGGGAGGCCUUGAUGGCAAAAACAUUGGGAGAAAUAAUUAAGAGAAGUUUUAGAUCAAGUUGUUCAGAUGGUAAACUUUAUUAAAACAAGCCAGUCAAAUCACGUUUAUUCAAAAAGCUUUGUAUCGAUAUGGAUUCACAACACAGACUGCUGCUUUUACACAUUGAGGUGAGGUGAUUGUCAAGGGGAAAAUUACUUACCCAUGUACAUGCGUUAUGACAAUAACUUCUUGCAUUUUUUGAAGAGAUGAAACAGUUAAAAUUUUUGUAACCUCCCUCAGAAUUUUGGAUUGCCAGGUUACAGUAUUUGGCUGAUAUAUUUCAGCAGCUCAAUAUUUUGAAUACAGUAGAACCUCGAAAACUCGGCCUAAUGUGGACCGAAGGGUGGCCGAGUUUGUGAAAAUGC